GAUGAAGAACGCAGCGAAAUGCGAUACGUAAUGUGAAUUGCAGAAUUCAGUGAAUCAUCGAAUCUUUGAACGCAUAUUGCGCUCUCUGGUAUUCCGGAGAGCAUGCUUGUUUGAGUAUCAGUAAACACCUCAACUUCCAUAUCUUUUUUGAAAUGGGAGUUGGACUUGAGUGAUCCCAACGCUUUUCCUCACCGAAAAGUGGCGGGUUACUUGAAAUGCAGGUGCAGCUGGACGUUUCUCUGAGCUAUAAGCAUAUCUAUUUAGUCUGCCUAAAAACAGAUUAUUACCUUUGCUGCAGCUAACAUAAAGGAGAUUAGUUCUUGUGCUGACUGAUGCAGGAUUCACAAAGACAGGCUUCGGCCGACUUUGUAAACUCGAUCUCAAAUCAAGUAAGACUACCCGCUGAACUUAAGCAUAUCAAUAAGCGGAGGA
rnacentral:misc_RNA from 1 species